rnacentral:rRNA from 1 species
UGCAAGUCGAGCGGACAGAAGGGAGCUUGCUCCCGGAUGUUAGCGGCGGACGGGUGAGUAACACGUGGGUAACCUGCCUGUAAGACUGGGAUAACUCCGGGAAACCGGAGCUAAUACCGGAUAGUUCCUUGAACCGCAUGGUUCAAGGAUGAAAGACGGUUUCGGCUGUCACUUACAGAUGGACCCGCGGCGCAUUAGCUAGUUGGUGAGGUAACGGCUCACCAAGGCGACGAUGCGUAGCCGACCUGAGAGGGUGAUCGGCCACACUGGGACUGAGACACGGCCCAGACUCCUACGGGAGGCAGCAGUAGGGAAUCUUCCGCAAUGGACGAAAGUCUGACGGAGCAACGCCGCGUGAGUGAUGAAGGUUUUCGGAUCGUAAAGCUCUGUUGUUAGGGAAGAACAAGUGCAAGAGUAACUGCUUGCACCUUGACGGUACCUAACCAGAAAGCCACGGCUAACUACGUGCCAGCAGCCGCGGUAAUACGUAGGUGGCAAGCGUUGUCCGGAAUUAUUGGGCGUAAAGGGCUCGCAGGCGGUUUCUUAAGUCUGAUGUGAAAGCCCCCGGCUCAACCGGGGAGGGUCAUUGGAAACUGGGAAACUUGAGUGCAGAAGAGGAGAGUGGAAUUCCACGUGUAGCGGUGAAAUGCGUAGAGAUGUGGAGGAACACCAGUGGCGAAGGCGACUCUCUGGUCUGUAACUGACGCUGAGGAGCGAAAGCGUGGGGGAGCGAACAGGAUUAGAUACCCUGGUAGUCCACGCCGUAAACGAUGAGUGCUAAGUGUUAGGGGGUUUCCGCCCCUUAUUGCUGCAGCUAACGCAUUAAGCACUCCG